rnacentral:rRNA from 1 species
UAUAAGCAACUAUACUGUGAAACUGCGAAUGGCUCAUUAAAUCAGUUAUCGUUUAUUUGAUAGUACCUUACUACUUGGAUAACCGUGGUAAUUCUAGAGCUAAUACAUGCUAAAAACCCCGACUUCGGAAGGGGUGUAUUUAUUAGAUAAAAAACCAAUGCCCUUCGGGGCUCCUUGGUGAUUCAUGAUAACUUAACGAAUCGCAUGGCCUUGUGCCGGCGAUGGUUCAUUCAAAUUUCUGCCCUAUCAACUUUCGAUGGUAGGAUAGUGGCCUACCAUGGUGUCAACGGGUGACGGGGAAUUAGGGUUCUAUUCCGGAGAGGGAGCCUGAGAAACGGCUACCACAUCCAAGGAAGGCAGCAGGCGCGCAAAUUACCCAAUCCCGACACGGGGAGGUAGUGACAAUAAAUACUGAUACGGGGCUCUUUUGGGUCUCGUAAUUGGAAUGAGUACAAUUUAAAUCCCUUAACGAGGAACAAUUGGAGGGCAAGUCUGGUGCCAGCAGCCGCGGUAAUUCCAGCUCCAAUAGCGUAUAUUAAAGUUGUUGCAGUUAAAAAGCUCGUAGUUGAACCUUGGGCCUGGUUGGCCGGUCCGCCUCACCGCGUGCACUGGUCCGACCGGGUCUUUCCUUCUGGGGAACCGCAUGCCCUUCACUGGGUGUGUCGGGGAGCCAGGACUUUUACUUUGAAAAAAUUAGAGUGUUCAAAGCAGGCCUAUGCUCGAAUACAUUAGCAUGGAAUAAUAAAACAGGACGCGCAGUUCUAUUUUGUUGGUUUCUAGGACCGCCGUAAUGAUUAAUAGGGACGGUUGGGGGCAUCAAUAUUCAAUUGUCAGAGGUGAAAUUCUUGGAUUUAUUGAAGAUUAACUACUGCGAAAGCAUUUGCCAAGGAUGUUUUCAUUAAUCAGUGAACGAAAGUUAGGGGAUCGAAGACGAUCAGAUACCGUCGUAGUCUUAACCAUAAACUAUGCCGACUAGGGAUCGGGCGAUGUUAUUUUUUUGACUCGCUCGGCACCUUACGAGAAAUCAAAGUCUUUGGGUU